rnacentral:rRNA from 1 species
GCGGAGGGAUCAUUACCGAGUUAUACAACUCCCAAACCCACUGUGAACCUUACCUCAGGUUGCCUCGGCGGGAACGCCCCGGCCGCCUGCCCCCGCGCCGGCGCCGGACCCAGGCGCCCGCCGCAGGGACCCCAAACUCUCUUGCAUUACGCCCAGCGGGCGGAAUUUCUUCUCUGAGUUGCACAAGCAAAAACAAAUGAAUCAAAACUUUCAACAACGGAUCUCUUGGUUCUGGCAUCGAUGAAGAACGCAGCGAAAUGCGAUAAGUAAUGUGAAUUGCAGAAUUCAGUGAAUCAUCGAAUCUUUGAACGCACAUUGCGCCCGCCAGCAUUCUGGCGGGCAUGCCUGUUCGAGCGUCAUUUCAACCCUCGAGCCCCCCCGGGGGCCUCGGUGUUGGGGGACGGCACACCAGCCGCCCCCGAAAUGCAGUGGCGACCCCGCCGCAGCCUCCCCUGCGUAGUAGCACACACCUCGCACCGGAGCGCGGAGGCGGUCACGCCGUAAAACGCCCAACUUUCUUAGAGUUGACCUCGGAUCAGGUAG